UGGCCCAGAUCGUUUACCGUGAAAAAAUUAGAGUGUUCAAAGCAGGCAGAUCCAAUUUUCUGCCACCGAAUACAUUAGCAUGGGAUAAUGGAAUAGGACCCUGUCCUCCUAUUUUCAGUUGGUUUUGGCAGCGCGAGGACUAGGGUAAUGAUUAAUAGGGAUAGUUGGGGGCAUUAAUAUUUAAUUGUCAGAGGUGAAAUUCUUGGAUUUAUGAAAGAUUAACUUCUGCGAAAGCAUCUGCCAAGGAUGUUUUCAUUAAUCAAGAACGAAAGUUAGGGGAUCGAAGACGAUCAGAUACCGUCGUAGUCUUAACCAUAAACGAUGCCGACCAGCGAUUAGGAGACGUUGAAUACAAAACACCACCAUCGGUGCGGUCAUCCUUGGCGUUGGUCUUCAAAAGCCAGCGCGGGGGUGGCUUAGCCCGGUGGCACCGGUGAAUGACUCCCCUAGCAGCUUGUGAGAACCA
rnacentral:rRNA from 1 species